CUAUGACAUAAGUCAUGGCGGAAGGAG
rnacentral:ncRNA from 1 species